ensembl:lncRNA
AUGCCUGUAUGUGUCUGCAUUCACUGGGUAGCCCCCAUUAUCUUUGUGCCGUGCCAUUUGGUGAGAGACAUGUUAGAGAUAAUUUUGUCAAUUGUGACAGAAUGGGCAUUGUCACAAUGGAUCUUUCUCCACGUUAUGGUCUCAGGUACUUGCUCUCUGGUCACAAUCCACCAGCCUCCUGUGCUUACCACUGCUCUGGGUCAUGAUGUUGUAAUGCCGUGCCAUCUUACCCAUGAUGAGAAAAUGCUGACCCCAUCAGUUUUGUAUUGGACAGACACCAACAAUGUCAGAGUGUGGAGGCCCUCUGAGAAUUAUGAGGGACGUGUUGACCUUUUGGACCAUGAUGUGCUCUCUUUAAACAAGUCAUUACUCCUCAGGAAGGUCAAGUGGACCGACGGUAGGAAGUACCUGUGCAAAGUCUCCAUCACUCUCCAGGAUAAACGUUUCAGGAUGAGUGGAAAUGGAACUUUACUGAUGGUUUAUGACACCGUGAACUUUAAACCCACCAGUCACAAUCAGUCUCUGCUCUGCUGUGAAGUAAACGUGACCCAGGGUCCUGGAUUUGUUUUGUCCAUUUUUCACAUUGGAUACAACCUCCAAACUGUUGACACUGCUCCAGGAAAUGUGUCAGCUCUGCCCUACGUCACACUUUCUCAAACAAUUUAUCUGAGGAAUAAAGGAAAAUAUGAGUGUCAGCUGCACCUGAACGAAGAGCUGGUGGCGAAAAACAUCUACUACCAUCUGCCUGUGCCUGGAGAUGGUGGAGAUGCUGAAAAAAAUGUUUCGGUAACAUGUUCAACAACUGUGUCUGAGCCAGAUGUGGAGGUGUUUCCAGAGCCGUGGUUUCUGUAUGUGGCUCUCCUCCUGGUGCCCGUCACCAUCCUUCUGAGCCUCGUAACUGCGAUGCUGAUGUACAGAUGCUGUGUUUGUCUGCCUUGAAUGGAGGCUUAACAAUGGAGAUCCAGGCUGCUCGGGAGUAAAAAGACCCCUUACUCAUCUUCAAUAUCAAAGACAUUCAUAACCAGUCAUCUACUUUGAGGAUCGAUCUUCCCUGUCAGUUAGGGUCAUCGUCAUUAACUGGAGUAGAACUGUUUGAAAACAGAUGUUUUCCUUUUCUCUAAAUUAUUAUAUGGCAGGGUUUGAUACAUCAUCACUUUAUAGUGGAGGGUGCCUGUGACUAACAGUGUGAUUUUUAUUCCCACUGGAACAAGAAACUCACUUCCUUUUGCAAUUUCACUGCAAAAUAAAGCCUAAAAACAUCACAACAUGCAUUGCAAUUUUUUGGGGGGUCAUUUUAUGCCACAAAAAAAAAAAACCUGCCUGCGAAAUCCUGGAGGGACUGAUUUAAGGAAGACAUCAUUACAAAUCAUUUCUUAUUCCAAAUGUUUAGUGGGAUUAGUUAGGGAAUUAGAUAGGGAACAUGUAAUGAGUUACAACUUUUAUGAAGAUUCCUCCGCUCAUUCACAAUGUUUACUGUAUUUGUAUAGUAUUGCACAGAAAGGUGACAGAAUAUUACAGUGCUUACAGUAUAUAUAGGAAGUCAGAUAUGAAUACUCACUGCUUUUUGCUCUUGUUCAUUCAUUCUUACUGCUCUUUGGUUGAAUAUGUAUAGACUCAUGUUGAUACUUGUUAUGUGUUUUGAAUUUCAAGGAAGGAUUUGCUUUACAUAUUUAUAUGUAUAUCUGUAUAUUUAUAUAUAGAAAUCUAAAUAAACCUUUGUCCGCAAGUUCCGCCUUUAUCAGAAAUGUACUUUUCUUUCCUUUGUCAACAGGUUAUCAGUUCCUUCACAAUCCUUUCUGUUCCCUUAUUGGAGUAAGUAAUUGUUUUGAUACUUCCUCUCCUUCUAAAGGCGACUGAAGGCAGUUGCACAAAGGGGCAACCACUGAGAGAGGCCCCUCUUUUCUCUUUACUUAUUAAAACAUGUAUGUAAUGACUAAAUAUACAAUAAUAUGACAUUGGUUUAACUUAUGUAUGUAUGAGCAUAAACAAGAAAUUACAGAAAGUAAAUUCUGUAGCUGAAACUGAGAGACAAAACUCAAAUCACCUCUUAAUUAAUACAUAAUCACCUAUCAAUGCAUGAAACCAGCUUUUUUGUACAAGAAUCACUAGAUAAAGAUAGGUUUGUAUUUGUGGAUGAUAAAAUAACUUUAUCCCCAAUGGCUCUUACUGGGUGAGUAAUAUUCAUCCUCACUUGUGUUGUUGCUGUGAGUGUAGUUAAUCCACAUAUUUUAAAAGAUGAAAAGGGAUGUUGAUGGAAUUAGGGACAGGGAGGUCACACUCACUCACACUCACACACACACACACACACACACACACACACACACACACACACACACACACACACACACACACAGAGGAAUGGGCAUUUGUCAGGCCGAGGACAGGGACGCAAUCAGCUCAGUAAUCCUCACUACUGGCAAAUGAAAUGGCCAAAAGAUCAGCACUCACUCAGUAGACUGAUUCCCCCUCUGAGCUGAGUCAGUGCACCUGUAGUCAUGUUACAUGUGUGGGUGUGUGUGAAUGUCAGUACAUGUGGGUUGAUUGAGACAGAAAGCAAUAGUCAGUUUGAAAUCUUGUGGUUCAUUUGAUUACACAGU